rnacentral:rRNA from 1 species
GAUGAACGCUGGCGGCGUGCCUAACACAUGCAAGUCGAACGGGGAUAGCAAUAUCUUAGUGGCGCACGGGUGAGGAACACGUAGCUCACUUGCCCUGAAGUGCGGGAUAAUGUCCCGAAAGGGAUGCUAAUACCGCGUAAGCUCACGGAUUGCAGAGGUCUGUGAGAAAAGGCGAAAGUCGCUUCAGGAGAGGGCUGCGGCCCAUCAGCUAGUUGGCGAGGUAAUGGCUCACCAAGGCAACGACGGGUAGGGGCCUGAGAGGGUGGCCCCCCACACUGGGACUGAGACACGGCCCAGACUCCUACGGGAGGCAGCAGUGAGGGAUAUUGGUCAAUGGGGGGAAACCCUGAACCAGCGACGCCGCGUGGGUGAAGAAGGUCUUCGGAUCGUAAAGCCCCUUUUNUGCGUGAAGAGAGAGGACGGUAGCGCAGGAAUAAGUCUCGGCUAACUACGUG